AAUACAUAAAUAAGAAAAUUAGCUUUCCAUAUCGUAGGUUUCUUUGAUAAUUCUUAGUAGCUUCCUUUAUGCCCUUAUAAAAAUGUUUUAUUAGCAUAUUUAGCUACCCAUAGUAAUGGGCUUCAUUAUAACAUUUCCAUGCACACACUCACAAUGUAUUCCAAUCAUAUUUUCCCCAUUACUCACUGUUUAUGGCCUUUUAAAAAACAACAACAAAAAAAAAAAACCCCACUUCUUAAACAUGUAUCUAUUUAUUUAUUUACUUUUUUUUUCCAGACAGGGUUUCUCUGUAUUGCUUUGGAGGCUGUCCUGGAACUCGCUCUUGUAGACCAGGCUGGUCUCAAACGCACAGAGAUCUGCCUGCCUCUGCUGGGAUUAAAGGCGUGCGCCACCACCGCCUGGCUCAUGUAUGCAUUUAUUUAGAGACGAAGUCCCACGAAGUCACCCAGGGCAGCCUCAUCGUUGGUGUGCAGAUGAGUGUGCCACGGACCCUCUGCUCCUCUCGCCUCCCAUGGCCGAGAACAGUCUCUGCUACAAACCCGUGGACUCUAACGGAUUCCAUCCCUCCUUCCACCGCAUCUCCCACUCAUGCUCUUCCCUUAGUUCCAGAACAGCGCGCCCACCUUUCCAGACUCCAGCUCUCCCUAUUCGGGUCUACUCUGUAGCCAGGCCCUGUUGGUCCUUCUGAACCUCGUGGCUCAGAUGGUGGCACUGGUUUGGAUGGCUGGAGCAGGAGGCGUUACUGGAGAGGAGGGCCUCUAGGGGUGGAUCUAUGUGGGUUAUAGGCCGCCACUGCACCCGACGCAAGCUCUCUGCCUCCUCGUUGGCACCAUCGGGACACCUCCUCCAGAGGCUGUCACCAAACGUGAAUGCUAGCAUGCCUUCUCCACCAGCACGGCUUGGAACCGUGAGCCCACGUGAGCCUUCCUCCAUUAAGUUGCUUCUGUCCCGUAUUCGGCCACAGAAAAGCAAUGGAUGCAAUCAUCUCGCCGAUUUGUAAAGCUUUUAGUUGUGGCAGACGCUGUUAAGACGCGAAAGGAACCAUGCAAGCUGUGGAUGUGAGAAGGGAAAGCGGGACGACUGGAAGGUGUCUGGGGUGAACAGAAAAGCCCACAAAAGGCUAUCGCCAAAUAAACAAAAAAAAUA